GAGAAAUAUAUGAGCAAGCUGAAGCAGUUCACUGAGAGAGUGAGAGUGAUAAAUCCCCUGAAUCCAAGACCAAGAGCACGCAUCUCUACCUCUUCGCAUGCUCAAUGUUCGGGAGAAGGAAGUUCCUGUCGUUCCCUAUGGUGAUUGGAGCUGUCGUGAUCGGAGUAGUAUCUGGGAAGGCGAUAUUCGGACCUCCGCUAGAUGAGUACUGGAAGAAGAAGCUUCAAGAAGAGGCACCUGCAAAGGAAACCAAUGCAGCAGCCUCCACAUCCAACAGCUAAACUUGCGGCUGCAGAUACUUUCACAUGAAAGGUGCAAGAAAACAGCAUUGUUCACCGGUUGUCAGAGAGUUUCUCUCAGGUUUAUUUCCUCUCGUUAUAUAGCGUGUUGCAAUGGGGCAGAAGUGAAGGGCCGGUGCCAUAGUUUAGAGUUGUGUAGGAUUUGAUCUUGACAUUGCGCAUACGUCGAUAAUCUUUUAUUUACACAGGAAAGAGAAACAAGAAAGAUCGUCUUUUCUGGAAUAUCGUCCGAUUUUUUGGCUCACUGCAGACUGAAGCUGAAACAACAUUCAUUUGUGCAUUCAGACAUGAAUCAUAAGAAUAAUUUUAACUC